UACGUAGGGGGCGAGCGUUGUCCGGAGUUACUGGGCGUAAAGGGCGUGCAGGCGGUGCGGUAAGUUUAGAGUGACAAGUCUUCGGCUUAACUGGAGAAGGCCCCUGAAAACUGCCGGACUUGAGGGCCAGAGAGGGACAUAGAAUUCCGGGUGGAGUGGUGAAAUGCGUAGAUAUCCGGAGGAAUACCAAAGGCGAAGGCAGUGUCCUGGCUGGCAUCUGACGCUGAGGCGCGAAAGCUAGGGGAGCGAACAGG
rnacentral:rRNA from 1 species